UGGGGAAUCUUAGACAAUGGGGGAAACCCUGAUCUAGCCAUGCCGCGUGAGCGAUGAAGGCCUUAGGGUUGUAAAGCUCUUUCACCGGGGAAGAUAAUGACGGUACCCGGAGAAGAAGCCCCGGCUAACUCCGUGCCAGCAGCCGCGGUAAUACGGAGGGGGCUAGCGUUGUUCGGAAUUACUGGGCGUAAAGCGCACGUAGUCGGAUUGGAAAGUCAGAGGUGAAAUCCCAGGGCUCAACCCUGGAACUGCCUUUGAAACUCCCAGUCUUGAGGUCGAGAGAGGUGAGUGGAAUUCCGAGUGUAGAGGUGAAAUUCGUAGAUAAUCGGAGGAACACCAGUGGCGAAGGCGGCUCACUGGCUCGAUACUGACGCUGAGGUGCGAAAGCGUGGGGAGCAAACAGG
rnacentral:rRNA from 1 species